CGGCGGACGGGUGAGUAAUGCUUGGGAAUAUGCCUUAUGGUGGAGGACAACAGUUGGAAACGACUGCUAAUACCGCAUAACGUCUACGGACCAAAGGGGGGGAUCUUCGGACCUCCCGUCAUUGAUUAGCCCAAGUGAGAUUAGCUAGUUGGUAAGGUAAUGGCUUACCAAGGCGACGAUCUCUAGCUGGUUUGAGAGGAUGAUCAGCCACACUGGGACUGAGACACGGCCCAG
rnacentral:rRNA from 1 species